AUAUAAAAAAUUUCGACGGCUUUGUUCGAACGCGAAUCAAUUCAAAACGGAACGUCGGAUCGGAGCGCUCUUUGCUGCGUUGGGUUCGUAUAAGCCCAAGGAAGGUUUUUACGCUAAUAAGUUGACAUUUUGGCCACUCUAGAACCGAUUCCGGAACAUCACCGUUUGUAUGGGGAAUGAAACGAAAAACUAAAUUUUGAUCAUAGGAGGCGUCAAGAUAAAUAUUCAAUCAAAGAAAACAAAACGUCAAAACGGAAAAGUUUAAUGUAGAACCAGGUGGAACAAACAGUUUUGAGGAGGUCAAUUAAUAAUUAACAUUAAAAAGGAAUGCUGUUUGGUCAGUAGAGAAAUGAAACAUAUUUGGCAGAGCACCCAGGCCGAAAAAAAAUACUUUUUUGAAGAAUUUUAAUUGAAAGAGUAAAAUAAGAUUGCAGAGAAGCAAACGAGGAAACAAAACGUACAUAAGAAGCAAAACAAAAAAUAAGAACGGUACUCCGUGAAGUUGUAACACACAAGUACA